AUGCUCACUUCACAGCACGUAUACUAAAACUGGAACAAUACAGAGAAGAUUAGCAUUGGCCCUGCACAAGGAUUACAUGCAAAUUUGUGAAGCAUUCCAUAUUUUU